UGCCUUGUGUGUGUUUGUGUUUUGAUUGCUUGCAGGUGGAAGUUGAUUGUGGUGUAAUUGGAGGCACCGGUUUCUGGGUGUUUGCUCCCUAUAAAGACUGCUUCCUGUUGGUGGUUCUAGCACUUUCAGUCUUAAUGUUGGUUAAUGGCAUGAUUGUAAAAUAAAUUGAGAGGUUUUGGAAAUGAUUGUAUUUCGUCUUCUCCUUAUUUGUUGUGAUCCUUUGUGUUUGCAACAAAUGGGGGCUCGUCCCUAAGUGUUUAGUUUUGAUUUGGAAUUGUGUUUUUUUUAUUUAUUUUUUUGUUAUUGGCCUGGCAGCAGGAUUGGUCCCCGUUGUGGUGGUGUUGCAGUUUAGAUGUUUUCGGAUCUGGCGUUGCAUUGACAUGUUUCAUCAUGCAGGGUGAUUUAUGGGGUGGAAGUUGAUUGUGGUGUAACUGGAGGCACCGUUUCUGGGUGUUUGCUCCCUAUAAACACUGCUUCCUGUUGGUGGCAGGGGGGAACUGGAUUUGGUGGCAGACUGGCAGUUCUAGCACUUUGUCUUAAUGUUGGUUAAUGGCAUGAUU